AUUAUUCAGUCCAAUUUUAAACAUAAUUAAUUAUUUAAUUUAUUAAGCUAACAAAAUUCUAAAAAUAUUAAAAUUGACAAGCAUAAUAAUUAAGGAUAACUUGGUGCUACCGGGCCUCAAAUAUCGAGCCUAGAACCCAUACAUAAUUAUUCAGUCCAAUUUUAAACAUAAUUAAUUAUUUAAUUUAUUAAGCUAACAAAAUUCUAAAAAUGUUGAAAUUGACACACAUAAUAAUUAAGGAUAACUUGGUGCUACCGGACCUCAAAUAUCGAGCCUGGAACCCAUAUAUAAUUAUUCACUCAAAUAUUAAACAUAAUUAAUUAUUUAAUUUAUUAAGCUAACAAAAUUCUAAAAAUGACACAUAAUAAUUAAGGAUAACUUGGUGCUACCGAACCUCAAAUAUCGAGCCUGGAACCCAUACAUAAUUAUUCAGUCCAAUUCAAUAAUUUUUAAUUUAUUCCUUAAACUAACAAAAGUCUAAAAAUGUUGAAAUUGGCACGCAUAAUAAUUAAAGAUAACUCGGUGUUACCGGGCCUCAAAAAUCAAGCCCGAAACCCAUACAUAAUUAUUCAGUCCAAUUUUAAAUAUAAUUAAUUAUUUAAUUUAUUAAGCUAACAAUAUUCUAAAUAUGUUGAAAUUGACACGCAUAAUAAUUAAGGAUAACUUGGUGCUACCGGACCUCAAAUAUCGAGCCUGGAACCCAUAC
rnacentral:lncRNA from 1 species